rnacentral:lncRNA from 1 species
AAAAAGUUCACAUGAUUAUUGGCAUUUUAGAGCAUACUGGGCUCACUUCCCACCCCACUCCAAUUCAGCUCACAUGCCAUCUCCCCCAGCAAACCUUAACUCCUCACCCCAAUUCUGUAUUAGAUGCCUCCACUGUAUCCCAUGUGUUUCUAAGCUCCUGCUCAUACCUUUGGCAAAGGCCUCACCACAUUGCACUGCAAUUCUGUGUACUUAUUAUACUCAUUCACUAGAUUGUGAGCUCUUUAGAGCCCUCUCUGAACAUGUAUUUGAAUUCUGAGCAUGUAGCACAGUGUUCGCAGAGUGGAGGUGCCCAGCAAAUGUGUGUGAAGGAAGAAUAAAGGAAUGUCCAGUUCUUCUUUGUAUCACUCAUAGCCCUGUGCACAGUGCUUUGCACAGAGCAGGCACUCAAAAGAUACUUGCUGAAUAAAUGAAAGAAAAGAAAAGAAAAGAGAAAACAAAAAGUGUACUUAUUUACAGAGAGGCAAACAGUAAACAAAAUUGUAUGUUGAAUUUAUCAAAUAAAGUCUUAAUAUAAAUGGUGUAAAUGUAUCUUUAUAGGUAGAUAAGAAAGGAAGAUGACUCAUAUUUUAUAACAAGGGUAGAACUGUUAGAUUUCCUCAAGAGGUUGUCUGGCUCGUUUCUACCAUCCAGUCAACUCUUAAGCCUCCCAACUAGGUAAGUGUUCAUUCAUUUUAAACAUCUUCAAAGUCUGUAUUAUGUUCCUUGGUAGCCUUAGACAGGCUUAAUAAUAUUUUAUAAUCAAGAAGUUUCUUCCAAUGUAAGAUCAAGCUUCCCCUUACUACUUUAAACUAAUUUUCUUUUGUUCUUUCUUCUACAGGGAUGGAGAACUGGUCAGCAUUCUAUUUUUAUAUGUUAUUCUUAUUCUUAUAAGCAUUCUUAUGAUAAGUAUACUAUAAGACAGUUAUUAAGUCACCGCUUAGCUUUCUAUUUUCCUGGCUAAGCAACCAAACUCCUUUAAUCUUUUCCCAUAUGAUCUAUUUUACAUCCCAUAAAGAUUUGUCACUUUUUUUUACAGACCUUUCCCAAUUUCACACUUAACUUUAAAAUGUGGAAACUCGAAGUUGUCAAAAUAGUUUAAUAAAAGCUUAUACAAUGCCAAAUAUAACAAAUAAUUAUUUCCUAAUUCCCUAAAUCCCAGUAUCAUAUGAGUUUUACAGCAUGCUUUGCUAAUAGCCAACAACCUCUCACCCCAUCUCCAUCCCUGUUAGUCCUCAUGCGCUCCCUGAAUGGGUGGUGUUUGAAGAGGGCCUGGCACCCACACUUUCUCUAUGGACAAUGUUCAAAGGUGCCCUCAAUGCAUGCAACAUUCUCUGGGUCUGCCCUCACCAGCUCACUGAACUGGGGCUUCAGGAAAUGGAGCCUGUUCAGGGUAUACUCCAUUUUAAUUUUCUGUAGUCCUGGCCACAGAAGAGCUAAACGUGCCUUAUGCAGAGCAAAGCUAGCCUUUUCAGCCUUGUUUUAGAGCAAGCUUGUCCAACCUGUGGCCUGUGGACCACAUGCAGUCUAGGAUGGCUUUGAAUGUGACCUAUAUACAAAUUCAUAAGCUCUCUUAAUUAAACAUGAUUUUUUUUUGUAAUUUUUUUUUUUUUUUUUUUUUUGCUCAUCGGUUAUCAGUCAGGGUUAGUGUAUUUUAUGUGUGGCCCAAGACAAUUCUUCUUCUUCCAUUGUGGUCUGGGGAAGCCAAAAGAUUGGACACCCCAUUUUUAGAGUGUGCACCACUCUGCUAACUGUCAUACCUGCGCUCAGAAAAUCUUCCUCCCUCUGCUGACAGUAUAGUUUUUCUGUCUCUCUCAGGAUAUAACCUUGAAUUUGUUCCACAGUUUUGAAAUGUGAUUUAUAUAAUUUAUUAAGAUCAUUUUGAAUUCUAGAUCUAGCAUUCCAAGUGUUUGUAACUCCUGUUAGCUUAGUGUAAUCUCCAAACUUAAUCAGUAUGCCUUUAAUUCCGUCACCCAGGAAAUAAUGAAAAACGCAGAAUGGAAUCUAACACAGGCACCAGGACUGAAUCCUGAAUAUCUCCAAUCAACAGGCCCCUAUUGGCUUAUGGAGGAGGAGUGCAGAUCUGAAACUGGAUUCUGGGAUAGUAACUGAGCAACAUAUUCUAGGGAUGAAACUUUAGAAAGAGACUCUACCAAGGAAAAUCCAGUCUGUUCUUUAGAUGGCACACACAGAAGCAAUAACAAUAUUUUACAAAUGACAAUAGAUAUCUGAUGACUGCAAAAAUUUAAUACAUAUACUUGAUGGAAAAAUAAAUUUCAUAACAUCCUAUACUAAUGUAAUCCAUACACUGAAUAAAAACUCUAUCUUCAACUUUCUAUUAAGAUAGAUAUGCCAGAAUCUCAAGACAAUAAAAUCUCACUAGAGAGUAUCAUAUACCAGAACCUCAAACUGCUUUCAGCAUCUCCAC